AACGCGAAGAACCUUACCCGGGCUUGAACUACGGAUGGUAAGUCCCUAGAAACAGGGGCUGACCCGCAAGGGAGUCCGCAGAGGUGCUGCAUGGUUGUCGUCAGCUCGUGUCGUGAGAUGUUGGGUUAAGUCCCGCAACGAGCGCAACCCCUACUCGAUGUUGCUAAUCCCGCAAGGGAUGCACUCUUCGAGAACUGCCUUCGAUAAGAAGGAGGAAGGUGGGGACGACGUCAAAUCCUCAUGGCCCUUAUGUCCGGGGCUACACACGUGUUACAAUGGCCGGUACAAUGGGAAGCAAUACCGUAAGGUGGAGCCAAACCCACAAAGCCGGCCCCAGUUCAGAUUGUGGGCUGCAACUCGCCCACAUGAAGGCGGAAUCGCUAGUAAUCGCUGAUCAGCAGGCAGCGGUGAAUACGUUCCCGGGCCUUGUACACACCGCACGA
rnacentral:rRNA from 1 species